UACGUAGGGUGCAAGCGUUAAUCGGAAUUACUGGGCGUAAAGCGUGCGCAGGCGGUUAUGCAAGACAGAUGUGAAAUCCCCGGGCUCAACCUGGGAACUGCAUUUGUGACUGCAUGGCUAGAGUACGGUAGAGGGGGAUGGAAUUCCGCGUGUAGCAGUGAAAUGCGUAGAUAUGCGGAGGAACACCGAUGGCGAAGGCAAUCCCCCUGGACCUGUACUGACGCUCAUGCACGAAAGCGUGGGGGAGCAAACAGG
rnacentral:rRNA from 1 species